UAAAGCAAGAAAGGGCGUAUGGGGAAUGCCUAGGCACACUCCGGCGAAGAAGGACGCAGCAAACAGCGAAAUGCGACGGUGAGCGGUAAGCACGUGAAGAGCCGUCGAUAUCCGAAUGGGGGAACCCACACGGAGUCAUAUCCGUGUAUCACAUGUCGAAUACAUAGACAUGAUGAGGCGAGACGCAGGGAACUGAAACAUCUAAGUACCUGCAGGAAGAGAAAAUAAGAAUGAUUUUCUGAGUAGCGGCGAGCGAAAGGGAAAGAGCCCAAACCGAUCUGAGGAUCGGGGUAGUAGGAUCAUCAAUAAAUCUGACAGAGGAUCAUAGAGGAAUCACAUGGGAAGGUGAGCGAGAGAGGGUGAGAGCCCCGUACUCGAAAUGAGAGACUGGAGAGAGAUGACACCUGAGUAGGGCGGGACACGAGAAAUCCUGUCUGAAUCAGCCGGGACCAUCCGGCAAGGCUAAAUACGAGAGAGUGACCGAUAGUGAACCAGUACCGUGAGGGAAAGGUGAAAAGAACCCCGGGAGGGGAGUGAAAGAGAACCUGAAACCAUAUGCCUACAAGAAGUCAGAGCCCGUUAAAGGGUGAUGGCGUGCCUUUUGUAGAAUGAACCGGCGAGUUACUGUAUGGAGCGAGGUUAAGCAGGAUAUGCGGAGCCGAAGCGAAAGCGAGUCUUAAGAGGGCGCGAGUUGCAUGCAGUAGACCCGAAACCGGGUGAUCUAGCCAUGACCAGGUUGAAGUUGGGGUAAAACCCGAUGGAGGACCGAACCGACCCCCGUUGAAACGUUGGCGGAUGAGUUGUGGCUAGGGGUGAAAUUCCAAUCGAACCCGGAGAUAGCUGGUUCUCCCCGAAAUAGCUUUAGGGCUAGCGUCGAGAGAAGAGUUGCGUGAAGGUAGAGCACUGAAUAUGUGAUGGCCCCAUCUCGGGGUACUGAGCAUAAUCAAACUGCGAAUGUCACGGAAACAUACUCGGCAGUCAGACAGCGGGUGAUAAGGUCCGUUGUCAAGAGGGAAACAGCCCAGACCAUCAGCUAAGGUCCCAAAAUGUAUGCUAAGUGGAAAAGGAUGUGGAGAUGUACAGACAACUAGGAGGUUGGCUCAGAAGCAGCCAUCCUUUAAAGAGUGCGUAACAGCUCACUAGUCGAAUGACUCUGCGCCGAUAAUUUACCGGGGCUAAGCAUACUACCGAAGCUAUGGAUCCCAAGGGAUGGUAGGGGAGCGUUCCAUGAACGGAGAAGUACGACCGAAAGGACGUGUGGAGAUCAUGGAAGAGAGAAUGCCGGUGUGAGUAGCGGAACGUGGGUGAGAAUCCCACGCACCGAAAACCCAAGGUUUCCAGAGGAAGGUUCGUCCGCUCUGGGUAAGUCGGGACCUAAGGCGAGGCCGAGAGGCGUAGUCGAUGGACAACAGGUAGAGAUUCCUGUACUCAUAUAUAUGUGAAGGAAUGACGGAGAGAGGAAGCUGCAGCCAGCGGCUGGAAGAGCUGGUGCAAGCGAGAUAUCGGGAUGGCAGGCAAAUCCACCAUCCGAAACGAGAAGGCGUGAAGCGUACGGAAAGCUACGGCGAGUACGGAAGGCAGUGGAGGAACUUCCAAGAAAAGUUUCUAACGUUAAGUAUAUAUGGCCCGUACCGAAAAUGGACACACAUGGGUGAGGAGAGAAUCCUAAGGUGAGCGAGAGAACUAUAGCUAAGGAACUCUGCAAAAUGACUCCGUAACUUAGGGAGAAGGAGUGCUCAUAGAGAUAUGAGCCGCAGUGAAACGGCCCAAGCGACUGUUUACCAAAAACACAGCUCUCUGCUAAGCCGCAAGGCGAAGUAUAGGGGGUGACGCCUGCCCGGUGCUGGAAGGUUAAGGGGAGGGGUUAACGCAAGUGAAGCCCUGAACUGAAGCCCCAGUAAACGGCGGCCGUAACUAUAACGGUCCUAAGGUAGCGAAAUUCCUUGUCAGGUAAGUUCUGACCCGCACGAAAGGCGUAAUGAUUUGUGCACUGUCUCGACAACACGCCCGGUGAAAUUGAAGAACCAGUGAAGAUACUGGUUACCCGCAACAGGACGGAAAGACCCCAUGGAGCUUUACUGCAGCCUGAUACUGGGAUUCGAUGAUAUAUGUACAGGAUAGGUGGGAGGCUAAGAAGCGAGAACGCUAGUUUUCGUGGAGCCGCCGGUGGGAUACCACUCUUAUGUCAUUGAAUUUCUAACCUGCAUCCGUAAUCCGGGUGAGGGACAAUGUCAGGCGGGCAGUUUGACUGGGGCGGUCGCCUCCUAAAAGGUAACGGAGGCGCUCGAAGGUCACCUCAGAAUGAUUGGAAACCAUUCAAAGAGUGUAAAGGCAAAAGGUGGCUUGACUGCGAGAGCGACGGCUCGAGCAGGUACGAAAGUAGGACUUAGUGAUCCGGUGGUAAUAAGUGGGAAUGCCAUCGCUCAACGGAUAAAAGCUACCCUGGGGAUAACAGGCUUAUCACUCCCA
rnacentral:rRNA from 1 species